rnacentral:rRNA from 1 species
AUCGUAACUCCUACGGGAGGCAGCAGUGGGGAAUUUUGGACAAUGGGGGCAACCCUGAUCCAGCAAUGCCGCGUGAGUGAAGAAGGCCUUCGGGUUGUAAAGCUCUUUUGUCAGGGAAGAAAAGGUAGUAGCGAAUAUCUAUUACUAAUGACGGGACCUGAAGAAUAAGCACCGGCUAACUACGUGCCAGCAGCCGCGGUAAUACGUAGGGUGCGAGCGUUAAUCGGAAUUACUGGGCGUAAAGCGUGCGCAGGCGGUUGUGUAAGUCAGAUGUGAAAUCCCCGGGCUCAACCUGGGAAUUGCAUUUGAGACUGCACGGCUAGAGUGUGUCAGAGGGGGGUAGACUUCCACGUGUAGCAGUGAAACGCGUAGAUAUGUGGAGGAAUACCGAUGGCGAAGGCAGCCCCCUGGGAUAACACUGACGCUCCUGCACGAAAUGGUGGGGAGCAAACAGGAUUAGAAACCCCAGUAGGCCUAGAGC